rnacentral:lncRNA from 1 species
AGACUUCUAGCAGCCACACAGUGAGGUCUUGAGCUGAUGUGUUUCAAGGCUAUACAAGUAAUAGAGGCAGCAGUUAUGGCCUCCUAGGGGAAGGUGAUAACCUAAGAACAUAAGUGGGGAGUGGGGGAGGAUGUUAGGACAGCAGCUAAUGGGGCUGGAGGCCAGGACAGGUCUCCAGUCCUAGAGACGCAAAGAACAAAGGCAGAAGAGGAGAGAGCAAGAAGGCCAGCCACAACAGGACCCAGAGCAGGGUGAAGCUGCAGCCCAGCGCUCACCUGGGAACCCAGACUCCAAAAGGGAAGAUGGCCUGCUGGCACUUUGAUUUUAGUCUGACGAGACCCACACCAGACCUCUGACCUACAAACUGUGAGUGCCAUUCCUGGGCUUUUUGCCCACUGUGAAGACUCCUUUAAUGAGCCCUGGAGCAGCUGCUUGUGCAGAAGCUGCAGUAAGACACAGACAACAGAAAACAACAGUUGAUGGAGGUGUUUCAUCACCAUUUUAGAGAGAUGAAGAAACUAAGGGUCAUAGAGACUAAAGAGUGCUUGAGAUCACGGUGGUGGAGUCGAGUCUCUGAACACCCUGCUCGCCAGUAUAAAAGAACUCACGUGUGCUGUCAUGUGUUCGAAGCCCACGUGCAAAUUGUGGGAAAGGAAAUGA